CCCGUGGCUUGCCACCCUGAAGCACUGCUGAGAAGACAGCAGUGUGGACGUGUGGAGGAUCGGGGGCAUUUCAUUUUUUUUUUUUUUUUUUUCAGUCAGUCUGAAUGUUCUUUAUUCUACUCAGCAACUAGGAGCAGAGCGUCAGUGCAGCUGUACAAAUGUGGCUUUUAUGUACACUGCAAGACAGAUAAACCUCACCAAGCAUCCAAAUUGAAGAAUGAUAGUUCUACAGAAGUUUGCAUGCUACCCAGCUAGCACUGGCCCACCCCGGUCCAAAGUUCCUGUGCCUAGAGUGUAAACACCAGCCCUCCUCUGUUGCACCGAGCUCCCACUCUGAACCACUAGAUGCACGGCUAUCCAAGGUCAACCCCUUAUGUACCUCAGCACUCACCAGAGAAUCCGGAUCGCUUACUCUUCUUUAUCCCCUCUUGGAUCAGGGCAGAAUUGGAUGUGCUUCGGGGUGGUUAUUCCUCCAAAAGAUUUGGUGUGGUGUUUAUAGAUUUACCCUUGCAUCGGCCGGGUAUGCAGAUGGGGAGGAUUGACCUGCUGCGACCUUGGAAGAGUGCCCUGGCGGAGGACGACAGCGACCUCGGGAUGGGCAGGACAUGCUGCAAUGCAGCAGAGCAGAUCAGUGGUGCUGCAUGCUGUCACACACACACACACACACUCAAAAACUGCAGCUCAUUUACACACUUUUCACACAAAAAUACACUUACUGCACAUAAGAACAAGUAAACAGCAAAAACUUGCACAGAUGCACACAAUCAAUAUGAACACACACGCGUGUGCACGCUCUACGUCUUCCUGGAUUAGCAGGCAUGGGUGUGUCUUAAUCAACCUGCCGCUGGCUGGCUGAGAUGCACACACCGCCCACAUGACUCUGCAUAAUGAGCAGCGAGUAAGCACGCACAUGCUCACACACAUUUACAUCCACACCCCUUUAGAAGGAGCACGACUGUAGAUGUGCACACAAGCUAUGGACUACAGAGGUGUGGGAGUACCAAGACAGAAGCAAAUGGUCAAAAAACACAUAGGGAUGUAUUAAUAAUGAUGCACUGAUUUCACCCUUUUCGCUCUGUUUUCCCAAAAUAAUCCAAGCAAAGUCCUUCUUUUCAUACACACAUAUAAAGUCGUCAGUGUUUGUUUUUCCUUUUGAACUGCAUCAACAGCUACUUCACAGCUUUUAUAGAUAAGGCGAUCACUCAGCUCCAUCAGCCACCAGAUCCCCCGGGCACCCCAGCGGGGCGUCCCAUAGGAGGACAAUAUGUAACAGCCGUGCCAAGACAUCUGCUUCAAAUCGAUCGAUCGUCCAGCCUCCACCUCAUUCACCUGCAGUCCUCAUCACAUUCCAGGUCAAGGGGUCCAGAGCUGUGUUUCGUUGCAUCCGUCCAGAUCUCCAGCUCUCACUCCUCCAUCACCACCGCCACAGGGAUAUUCUGUACAGCCCACGGCUUCACUGCCACUUUAAGGUUCAUCCCGUUGUGACAGACAGGGCUGUGCAGUUGGAAAGAAGACAGCUUUGUUGGAUCUGGUCUCUUUCAUCGAAUGUGUUGACAUUCACAACCAUAUGGAACAACAUCGUCAGCAUCAUCCUUCACCCCAAAUCACAAACACACACUCACACACACACACACACACACACACAGUGGUGUCGGAAAUCCUUAAUAGUGCGGUGGAUGCUAUAACACAACCGGCUCGAGCCUGCUGGUCAGGACGUGAGGGACGGUGAUGGGAGCAGAGGAAAAAGGGCUUGCUCUUUCAUUUCCAGUGACUUCACAGGAAAUUCUUUCCACUUUGGUCCCAUUGUCUCCAACCUUGCAGGACGAGAUGAGAUGUGCUAACAUGCUGUGAUCAGGAUGUGUUUUUGCUCGUGUCUGAUUUCUUUAAUCACACUUUCCAGAAUUGGUUUAUUCCACAAACAAGGAGAACUUACAGUCUGAUACCUCUUCUUGGCUGCCGCUGUUUGUGACUUAUGGAUUUUUUCCUAACCUUCUGAUCAGCUUUACUGUGAGUUCAGUGUGACCUUUGACUGCAGGGUCAAAGGUCAGCCCACACUCACCUCUGAGUCCUUUCAGCACGCUGAAAUAAAAACCUGAACAAGGGA